UCUUUUACCUCCCAGAAAAACCAAAGAAAACAGUUUAAAGCUCCAGAGGAUAAUAAAUAAUAAAUAAUAUCUGCUUCCUGGAUCCCCAAGCAGCCAUGUUAGUCAUCAGGCUAAAUUUAAAGAUAAACGGUUUUACUUUACCAAAGUUUCCAACAAACAAAUCAAAUGG